rnacentral:rRNA from 1 species
UACGGAGGGUGCGAGCGUUGUCCGGAAUCACUGGGCGUAAAGGGCGCGUAGGCGGCUGGGGAAGUCCGUGGUGAAAGCUCGUGGCUCAACUGCGAGUCGGCCACGGAGACUCCUCAGCUCGAGCACUGUAGAGGCAGGUGGAAUUCCGGGUGUAGCGGUGGAAUGCGUAGAGAUCCGGAAGAACACCGGUGGCGAAGGCGGCCUGCUGGGCAGUAGCUGACGCUGAGGCGCGACAGCGUGGGGAGCAAACAGG